rnacentral:rRNA from 1 species
AGCACGCCGCGUGAGUGAUGAAGGUUUUCGGAUCGUAAAACUCUGUUGUUAGGGAAGAACAAGUACCGUUCGAAUAGGGCGGUACCUUGACGGUACCUAACCAGAAAGCCACGGCUAACUACGUGCCAGCAGCCGCGGUAAUACGUAGGUGGCAAGCGUUGUCCGGAAUUAUUGGGCGUAAAGCGCGCGCAGGCGGUUUCUUAAGUCUGAUGUGAAAGCCCCCGGCUCAACCGGGGAGGGUCAUUGGAAACUGGGGAACUUGAGUGCAGAAGAGGAGAGUGGAAUUCCACGUGUAGCGGUGAAAUGCGUAGAGAUGUGGAGGAACACCAGUGGCGAAGGCGACUCUCUGGUCUGUAACUGACGCUGAGGCGCGAAAGCGUGGGGAGCGAACAGGAUUAGAUACCCUGGUAGUCCACGCCGUAAACGAUGAGUGCUAAGUGUUAGAGGGUUUCCGCCCUUUAGUGCUGCAGCAAACGCAUUAAGCACUCCGCCUGGGGAGUACGGUCGCAAGACUGAAACUCAAAGGAAUUGACGGGGGCCCGCACAAGCGGUGGAGCAUGUGGUUUAAUUCGAAGCAACGCGAAGAACCUUACCAGGUCUUGACAUCCUCUGACAACCCUAGAGAUAGGGCUUCCCCUUCGGGGGCAGA